AUACGUAGGGGGCAAGCGUUAUCCGGAUUUACUGGGUGUAAAGGGAGCGUAGGUGGCUUGGCAAGCCAGAAGUGAAAACCCGGGGCUUAACCCCCGCGGAUUGCUUUUGGAACUGUUAGGCUUGAGUGCAGGAGGGGCAGGCGGAAUUCCUGGUGUAGCGGUGAAAUGCGUAGAUAUCAGGAGGAACACCGGUGGCGAAGGCGGCCUGCUGGACUGUAACUGACACUGAGGCUCGAAAGCGUGGGGAGC
rnacentral:rRNA from 1 species